CAAGGCUAAAAACCACAAUGGCGAGAAGGCAAACUUUGAGGAGUCUUCUCAUACUCCUCAUACUUACCAGUGACGUGCUCGCCCACGUCAUCAAGAUACAAAAUGGUGUAGGGUGGUCGGAGUCCUUCCGAGUUCCAGCUGGCCCUGGACACUCGAUGGACUCUGACCUGCAGGACCUUCCCUCCGUUAAGGACACGGUGGAAUCCAGCUUGGCAUCUCGCGAGGUGCUGGCGAGGUUCCUCCGUGUCGCGGACAGCAACGGACUGCACUCUGGCCCUGGUCUCGAGACGAUUCGAGACCGAGCCAGGCAGGCGAAAAUCGCGGCGGGCGUUUUAAGUGGGAUAAUCCACCGCCGGAAGAGGGCCCUGGGUGACACGGAUAACGAAGGUCUUACGCCUAACUGGUUCUCUCGCCUGGCCGAGAGGAACGUUAUCUUUAUCACCAGGGUCUUCAGGUCUCGGCGGUGGGGGAGGUACAGGUACACGAUGAGUGUGUCCUCCCUCAUACUCUUGGUGUCCACCAUCACGCAAGUGUACCUGGACAGGCAAGGUAUGGGGGAUAUCGGCGACACCUCGACUUACCUGGAUUUCUACUGGCUCCUGUACGACGUACUUAAUGAGGUCAAAGAGUUUGCGGACUUGAAUUGCUAUUACCCCACCUAUUGGCCCGCCGCGUUGCUCGCCCCCGACCACUGCAAUCCCUACCGCCUGGUGGAGGAGACCCGCCGUGCCUUGGAAAACAGAGGUGGUGAAAUUCUGACAGAAUUUAGGUCAUUUACUAAAUCUGGGGAUUUGGUGUUGAGGAUAAAAAAUAUCGUGCUUGAGAGACUUUAAGAAAUGACCUCUUUGUUAGUGUCUUCCUAACAUUAUUUUUUAUCUGCGGCAACUAAGUCUCCUGGAAAGUGACGCCUGAAUUGUGUUUAAACUUCCUGCCUCGGGAUUUCCAAGGCUUGCGUGCGGUGUUCCCUCCACCAGGCGGAUGGGAUGAUGGGAUCCAAACCCGUUGCUGACUCCACAGAGUGGAAGGAACUGCCUGCACCUCCUUUGUUUCUGCGGUAACGUGCGGGGAGGAAAUUUAAGCAGCCAUUGCUGCCAUCCGGGGUUGUGAGGACUGACCUGAAGGACCUUCCCUCCAUGAUGGUCACGGUGGAAUCCAUCCUGAUAACACAGAUGCUCCUCCCCAUGCUGACUUGGGCAACGAAAGCCACUGCCCCGCCACGGGAGUGAGAGGAACUGACCUGAACAUCGCCUUCCUGCUUGCUGUAGGGAAAGCCUCUGCUGCUGGCCCUGCUGGAGAAAGUCUACCGUCUACGUCAUUGUGCACCAGUACCCAAGACGGCCAGGCAGCUGGGAGCACAAGCCACCACAGUGUGAAAGGAAGUCUGCACCCACGCGGUCAUUCUCCAAAAUGGCGCAUCGAGUCGGUUGUUCCCUGAAUCCCCUGCAAAGCCUUCUCUCUGUGAUGGCCACGGUGGAAUCUAACAUGAUGGCACAGCCGCUGGCGAGUGUUGGAGUCUGACUACUCUGUACAAGGUUGUGCACAACUAUAGCGACGGAAUGGAUCACAUUAUACACUUGGGUGCCGAUGAACACUGCUAUUACCCGACAUACUGGCCCGUCUCGUUGCUCGCCCCUGACCACUGCAACCAACACUGCCUUCGAUAGAGCCUUUGCUGCCACCAGGGGUGGGUGGGUGGAGCCUGGCCUGGACCUCCCCUUCAUGCUGUUCCUGCUGGAGAAAGUCUACCUCCCCUUAAUGAUCCUCCUGGAGAAAGUCUACCUUCCCUUCCUGGUGAAUUCAGUUUGAACUUCAACC